AAACUCUUCCAUUUACAGUAAAACGAACAAACCCUAAACGAAAACCAGGAGUACCAUAAAACCAAACAGUCUAUCAAUCUUCUUCUUUUUCUGAAGAAUGAUUCAGAAAUAAAUAAUUUCCAGCAUUCAAUAUACGCAGAAAAUCAUCGAAUUUCAAAACAAAAAAAGAACUCAAAACAGAAGAAAUGAUCAAAUACCUGGGAGAAAUCAUCCAUGAAGAUUCUUCCUGCAAUUUCGGUGGUGUUCGGUGAGAAAUUCAAAUACUUCCAUCAAAAAGAUCACAAAUUUCAUGAGGCCCUUCCCUUUUUUCUUGGAACCGUGAAGAAGUUAAUAUGGAUAUAGCUGUUGAAGAUCUUCCAACCUUAUUAGAAAGGUUUAGUACCUUGCAAAACCUGUAAACCUGUAUCAACUUCAACAAAAUUUAGCUGAUGAGAAUGAAAGGCUUGUGUUGAUAGGAGCUUUAGACAAUGCUCAGUAUUGGCGUAAAAGUUAGGAUUCUUAUCUGCUUUUGAAUGUAAACACACAUAAUUUCAUUUUCUUACUAGGAGAACUCCUAUUUCAGGUUCCACAAUCAUCUCCAUUGGGGCAGUGCCCCUUGGUAUCUUACAACUUCUGUUCCGAACUCCAUUGGCAAUUAAGAAUUAAGAAGAAGAAGAAGAAAGGAAACUCAAACUCAGAGUGAUCUCAGUUCCGAGAGUCCUCCAAUGUCACCACUCAAGUUACCUUUGGGGUUCAUGCUGGAUAAUCCCCUGAAAGAUCAUUCAUAAAACAAAAACAAGAGGAUUAUUAAUUUAUAAGAAGAUGACUAAAAACAAAAAACCAGUUUAUGCUGCCACUGUGACCGAAAAAGAUUAAGGAAUCUCUCAGGGAAGUAACCCUUGAACCAGUGCAGCCAACUCCAUCCCACUGAUUACCACAAGGAUCAUUUGAGUCCCAAAUUGGUGGUGAGUUCUCCCAAUUACUCUUUGAAGAUUGGAGCACCGCAACUGCAGUCCAACACAUUUCAAUGUAGCAGAAUGGCAUGUUAUAUCCACCAACAAAGCACUUAUCUACUGGCGAGUCGAGGAGAUGCAACUGACUCUGUGUUGUAACAAUUUUUGCUUAAAAUGCUUUGAAUAAUGGGCAAUAGAACAAAAAAGAAAAUGCGUCAAGUUUGAUCACACAAGGAUAAGUGCUCCUCUUAUGCUCCAGAAACUGGGUUGCGAUAGCGAUAUGAUGGAUACAGAAUUGAGAAAUGUCGGAGAAAAGUUGGGAUUCAGGAAUUUAAGAUGUGUAUAUACUCCGUUCGAUGCGACAAUGAACCUGCUCCGCUGACGAGUGAUGUACACGGAAACUGUCCAAGACUUGUUCCUGUUAUCUAAACGGGGCAACAGAUGCAACAGAUAGAAAGGAUAGUCCUUCUGGGUUUAUGAUUCUUUCAUAUGCGCGAUUUACAAAAGAGAAAUUGUGAAUCUCUUUAUCUUUCAGAAGGAAGAAAGUUGGUGGAAGUGGAAAAAACCUCCAUCUUCUAGUAAAAAACCCUGUGUGGACAGGUAUUCCUGAAGCAAGGGAGCCAGGAAAGAAGGGAAAAAGGCGCUGAAUGUCCGGUCUCUCUCUCUCUCCACUGCUAACGAAAGCAUAUUUCACCCAAUGCAUCGUAAUAAGUUGAAGUUCUGGAUGUUUGUUGGUUCUGCAGAUGGAAAAAGACAAUUUGUACCUGCUGGUGGCGAUGGGGUUUUCCGAAAUUCAUGUCUCUUAUUCAACUGCAUGACUCUUCCUAAAAUGCUUCUUGUGAAAUCAGAAUUGGAGCUUGAGAAGCAAAAUAAAGCAAUUAGGGGAUCCUUUCAAAGGAUAAGGAUAGCAGGAAUGCAGCUGAUCGCAGCAAAGGAUGAAUUAUGGGGCAAGGCGUCUGGCUUAUUCAUGGGUCGGACACUGAGAUAUACUUACAAAUGGGUGAAAAAUUUAGAUUUGAUGGAAUGUUUUGCUAGUACAGUAGUUGAAAAGAAAUUGUUAUGGUAAAUGAGACAAAAAUACUAAGAAGCUUUAACUGUAUUUUCUCAAAUAUGUUGUCUUUUUGUGGGCAAAAGAACACUCCGUUGAAUGAGUGAAUGGUGUUCAUCAUUUCAUAGUUAACUCUGUGCACAGAUUAAGAUACCGUCAUGAAUAUGAAUGAAUGAAUGUUGUCUUUA